rnacentral:rRNA from 2 species
AACUUCGGGAAACCGAAGCUAAUACCGGAUAGGAUCUUCUCCUUCAUGGGAGAUGAUUGAAAGAUGGUUUCGGCUAUCACUUACAGAUGGGCCCGCGGUGCAUUAGCUAGUUGGUGAGGUAACGGCUCACCAAGGCAACGAUGCAUAGCCGACCUGAGAGGGUGAUCGGCCACACUGGGACUGAGACACGGCCCAGACUCCUACGGGAGGCAGCAGUAGGGAAUCUUCCGCAAUGGACGAAAGUCUGACGGAGCAACGCCGCGUGAGUGAUGAAGGCUUUCGGGUCGUAAAACUCUGUUGUUAGGGAAGAACAAGUACGAGAGUAACUGCUCGUACCUUGACGGUACCUAACCAGAAAGCCACGGCUAACUACGUGCCAGCAGCCGCGGUAAUACGUAGGUGGCAAGCGUUAUCCGGAAUUAUUGGGCGUAAAGCGCGCGCAGGC